rnacentral:rRNA from 1 species
CCUGCCCUUGAGACGGGGAUAAACCCGGGAAACUGGGUAUAAUACCCGAUAGAUCUCGACUGCUGGAAUGCAUCGAGCUCGAAAGCUCCGGCGCUCAAGGAUGGGUCUGCGGCCUAUCAGGUAGUAGUGGGUGUAGCGUACCUACUAGCCUACGACGGGUACGGGUUGUGAGAGCAAGAGCCCGGAGAUGGAUUCUGAGACACGAAUCCAGGCCCUACGGGGUGCAGCAGGCGCGAAAACUUUACAAUGCUGGAAACAGCGAUAAGGGGACCUCGAGUGCCAGGUUACAAAUCUGGCUGUCGUGAUGCCUAAAAAGCAUUGCAUAGCAAGGGCCGGGCAGGACCGGUGCCAGCCGCCGCGGUAACACCGGCGGCUCGAGUGGUAACCGUUAUUAUUGGGUCUAAGGGGUCUGUAGCCGGCCGGAUAAGUCUCUUGGGAAAUCUGGCAGCUUAACUGUCAGGCUUUCAGGAGAUACUGUCUGGCUCGAGGCCGGGAGAGGUGAGAGGUACUUCAGGGGUAGGGGUGAAAUCUUGUAAUCCUUGAAGGACCACCAGUGGCGAAGGCGUCUCACCAGAACGGACCUGACGGCAAGGGACGAAAGCUAGGGGCACGAACCGGAUUAGAUACCCGGGUAGUCCUAGCCGUAAACGAUACUCGCUAGGUGUCGGCAACGGUGCGACCGUUGUCGGUGCCGUAGGGAAGCCGUGAAGCGAGCCACCUGGGAAGUACGGCCGCAAGGCUGAAACUUAA